rnacentral:rRNA from 1 species
UACAGAGGUCUCAAGCGUUGUUCGGAUUCAUUGGGCGUAAAGGGUGCGUAGGCGGCGCGGUGAGUCGGGUGUGAAAUCUCGGAGCUUAACUCCGAAACUGCAUUCGAUACUGCCGUGCUUGAGGACUGGAGAGGAGACUGGAAUUUACGGUGUAGCGGUGAAAUGCGUAGAUAUCGUAAGGAAGACCAGUGGCGAAGGCGGGUCUCUGGACAGUUCCUGACACUGAGGCACGAAGGCCAGGGGAGCAAACGGG